rnacentral:rRNA from 1 species
AUUGAACGCUGGCGGCAUGCCUUACACAUGCAAGUCGAACGGCAGCACGGGAGCAAUCCUGGUGGCGAGUGGCGAACGGGUGAGUAAUAUAUCGGAACGUGCCCAGUAGUGGGGGAUAACUGCUCGAAAGAGCAGCUAAUACCGCAUACGACCUGAGGGUGAAAGGGGGGGAUCGCAAGACCUCUCGCUAUUGGAGCGGCCGAUAUCAGAUUAGCUAGUUGGUGGGGUAAAGGCCUACCAAGGCAACGAUCUGUAGUUGGUCUGAGAGGACGACCGGCCAAACGGGGACUGAGACACGGCCCAGACUCCUACGGGAGGCAGCAGUGGGGAAUUUUGGACAAUGGGCGCAAGCCUGAUCCAGCAAUGCCGCGUGCAGGAAGAAGGCCUUCGGGUUGUAAACUGCUUUUGUCAGGGAAGAAAUCCUCUAGGUUAAUACCCUUGGGGGGAUGACGGUACCUGAAGAAUAAGCACCGGCUAACUACGUGCCAGCAGCCGCCGUAACAC